rnacentral:lncRNA from 1 species
UGAUUUGGGAAGAGGUUGACAGAAGGUGGCAGUUUGGAUCAUCCGGCGUGUGAUUUUUCUGGUAGAGGUGAAGGCGUGUGUAAUCGUUGUGGGAGCAGGUGGCAUUAAUUGAUGAUUGUGCAAUGGGGGUUUGGUUUUCUUGUGGAAAGAAGAAGAUGCUUUAUUUUGUUUUUUCUUUUUGUUUUCUGUUUUUUUUCACAGAGAGAGAGAGAGAGUUCUUUUGAUUCUCUUUUUCUUUUUCUUCUUUUUUUUAGCGUGAGUGAUUGAGAAGAGUAGGUUAC